GUGCUCGCUUCGGCAGCACAUAUACUAAAACUGGAAUGAUACAGAGAUGAGCGUGGCCCCUGCACAAGGAUGACAUGCACAUUCAUGAAGUGUUCUAUAUCUAA
ensembl:snRNA U6 U6 spliceosomal RNA